rnacentral:misc_RNA from 1 species
AUUUAUCAACAAAUAUAUUGUGUAAAGGAAAUGUAGGAUAUGGAAAUUCAAACUCUUGUGGUCCAUGGUGCUGAUCUCCAGCUUUUCAUUGUGACUGUAUAAUCAAAAUUUCCCAGUAAAUUUCAUAUUGUUAUUGUAGCUGACUUUGCGUUACUGAUUUUGGCUUCUUUCCUUUUUGUUUGUUAAUGGUAUACAUACUUUUGUUUUGUGAAUUGCGAGAGAG